UUUUAGAAAUUAAUUUAAAGUCUAACCUGCCCACUGAAUAAUUUUAAAUGGCCGCAGUAUCCUAACUGUGCAAAGGUAGCAUAAUCAUUAGUCUUUUAAUUGAAGGCUGGAAUGAAUGGUUGGAUGAAAUAUUAACUGUUUCAUAAAAAUUUAUAAUAGAAUUUUAUUUUUUAGUCAAAAAGCUAAAAUAUUAUUAAAAGACGAGAAGACCCUAUAAAUCUUUAUAUUUAGAUAAUUUUAAUUAUUUAGAUAAAUUAAAUUAUAAUUAUUUUAAAUAUUUUAUUGGGGUGAUAUUAAAAUUUAAUAAACUUUUAAUUUAUAAUUAACAUAAAUUAAUGAAUUAUUGAUCCAUUUAUUAUGAUUAAAAAAUUAAGUUACUUUAGGGAUAACAGCGUAAUUUUUUUAGAGAGUUCAUAUUGAUAAAAA
rnacentral:rRNA from 2 species